rnacentral:rRNA from 1 species
UUAAUUGAAGAGUUUGAUCAUGGCUCAGAUUGAACGCUGGCGGCAGGCCUAACACAUGCAAGUCGAGCGGCAGCACAGAGGAACUUGUUCCUUGGGUGGCGAGCGGCGGACGGGUGAGUAAUGCCUGGGAAAUUGCCCGGUAGAGGGGGAUAACCAUUGGAAACGAUGGCUAAUACCGCAUAACCUCGCAAGAGCAAAGCAGGGGACCUUCGGGCCUUGUGCUACCGGAUAUGCCCAGGUGGGAUUAGCUAGUUGGUGAGGUAAGGGCUCACCAAGGCGACGAUCACUAGCUGGUCUGAGAGGAUGAUCAGCCACACUGGAACUGAGACACGGUCCAGACUCCUACGGGAGGCAGCAGUGGGGAAUAUUGCACAAUGGGCGCAAGACUGAUGCAGCCAUGCCGCGUGUAUGAAGAAGGCCUUCGGGUUGUAAAGUACUUUCAGUAGGGAGGAAGGUGGUUAAGCUAAUACCUUAAUCAUUUGACGUU